rnacentral:rRNA from 1 species
UAGGGAAUCUUCGGCAAUGGGGGGAACCCUGACCGAGCAACGCCGCGUGAGUGAAGAAGGUUUUCGGAUCGUAAAGCUCUGUUGUUAAGGAAGAACGAGUGUGAGAAUGGAAAGUUCAUGCUGUGACGGUACUUAACCAGAAAGGGACGGCUAACUACGUGCCAGCAGCCGCGGUAAUACGUAGGUCCCGAGCGUUGUCCGGAUUUAUUGGGCGUAAAGCGAGCGCAGGCGGUUAGAAAAGUCUGAAGUGAAAGGCAGUGGCUCAACCAUUGUAGGCUUUGGAAACUGUUUAACUUGAGUGCAGAAGGGGAGAGUGGAAUUCCAUGUGUAGCGAUGAAAUGCGUAGAUAUAUGGAGGAACACCGGUGGCGAAAGCGGCUCUCUGGUCUGUAACUGACGCUGAGGCUCGAGAGCGUGGGGAGCGAACAGG